CGAUCAAGAAUAAGGACGCUUGCCACCGAUCAGGACCCCUAUAUGGGAGUGUCUUGCAAGACGAGAUUGAAAUUUGGACUACAGAAACACUUGGAGCACAAAAUAGUUAAUUAAUAUAUCCGAUCGAGAUAUCUCAUCUAGAUCAUGGAGCUCGAGCUCUCGUUGACUAGACCUCUGACGCUCCAGACAUGGCAUUGUACAUCCCAU
rnacentral:lncRNA from 1 species